rnacentral:snRNA from 1 species
GCGUGCUUGGGCGAGAGUAGUAC